AAUCAACGCUGGCGGCGUGCCUCAGACAUGCAAGUCGAACGAUUAAACUUUCCUUCGGGAAAGAUAUAAAGUGGCGCACGGGUGAGUAACACGUAAGUAAUCUACCUUUGAGUGGGGAAUAACGUUCGGAAACGGACGCUAAUACCGCAUAAUGCAGCGGCAUCGCAAGAUGACAGUUGUUAAAGAUUUAUCGCUUGAAGAGGAGCUUGCGGCAGAUUAGCUUGNGGUAAGGUAACGGCUUACCAAGGCUACGAUCUGUAUCCGGUCUAAGAGGACGGUCGGACACACUGACACUGAAUAACGGGUCAGACUCCUACGGGAGGCAGCAGUCGGGAAUUUUGGGCAAUGGGGGAAACCCUGACCCAGCAACGCCGCGUGAAGGAUGAAGUAUUUC
rnacentral:rRNA from 1 species